rnacentral:rRNA from 1 species
GACGAACGCUGGCGGCGUGCUUAACACAUGCAAGUCGAACGGAAAGGCCCUGCUUUUGUGGGGUGCUCGAGUGGCGAACGGGUGAGUAACACGUGAGUAACCUGCCCUUGACUUUGGGAUAACUUCAGGAAACUGGGGCUAAUACCGGAUAGGAGCUCCUGCUGCAUGGUGGGGGUUGGAAAGUUUCGGCGGUUGGGGAUGGACUCGCGGCUUAUCAGAUUGUUGGUGGGGCAGUGGCUUACCAAGGCUUUGACGGGUAGCCGGCCUGAGAGGGUGACCGGCCACAUUGGGACUGAGAUACGGCCCAGACUCCUACGGGAGGCAGCAGUGGGGAAUAUUGCACAAUGGGCGGAAGCCUGAUGCAGCAACGCCGCGUGCGGGAUGACGGCCUUCGGGUUGUAAACCGCUUUCGCCUGUGACGAAGCGUGAGUGACGGUAAUGGGUAAAGAAGCACCGGCUAACUACGUG